rnacentral:lncRNA from 1 species
AUGAUCUCGGCUCGCCGAAACCUCUGCCUGCUGGGUUCAGGUGAUUCUCCUGCCUCAGCCUCUUGAAUAAAUGGGAUUACAGGCGCCCGCCACCAUGCCUGGCUAAUGUUUGUAUUUUUAGUAGAGAUGGGAUUUCACCAUGUUGGUCAGGCUGAUCUCAAACUCCUGACGUCAAAUGAUUGGCCUGCCUCAGCCUCCCAAAGUGUUGGGAUUACAAGUGUGAGCCACCAUGCCCAGCCUACUUUACUAACUUCUUAAAUAAUAUACUUUAUUUAUUUUUGUUGGUUUGUUUGUUCGUUUGUUUUUCAGACCGAGUCUCGUUCUGUCACCCAGGCUGGAGUGCAGUGGCACGAUCUCAGCUCAUUGCAACCUCCACCUCCCGGGUUCAAGCGAUUCUCCUGCCUCAACCUCCCGAGUACCUGGGACUACAGGCACACGCCACCAUGCCUGGGUUUGGGACAGGUGGCUGCUACCAACAGCUCUCAAGGUGGCCCCACAGACCUGAGCCAACCACUUCUCCUCAGCCCUCCCCUGCCCAUGAAGACUGCUCAGAGGGGCCCCAUUGAGAGCUGGAUCUGGGACUUUGUUUAAACUGCAAGGAGAGAAGCUCUGUCACCCUGCAGGGCGUGAAGUUCAGCUGAAGCCAUUGAGAUCAUGGCCUGGGAGCCUAUCUAGCAGGAGGCUACCACACGGAGGGCCCUGACGGUGUGAGUUCGGCCUCUGGAUCCCACCACACUGAAGCACUCCAGAGACUCCCUUCUCUCUAAACCCACCAGUUCUGCUCCCUGGACCCCUGACCCAGCCGUGCUGCUUUCAAAGAUCUGUCUUCCACUGCCUCCCAAAGCCAGAUCGCAGGAGAAGCUGGUGGUCUCGCAUCUGCCUGAAUUCUGACAGCGGCCCACGAGAGUCGGUGAUGAUGGCAGGUCUGCCCAAGUGGUGGGCCGGCUUGGCCCCCUCAUCUCAAAGUGAGCCAUGUUUUGCUCCCAGACCUUCCUCCUAGUCUGCCAGACCACCUCUUCUAGCCAUGCAGUCAAGCCCAGAUUAGGAAUUAGCCCCAUCCAGCCCCUCUCCCACAUACAACCUCCAAAUAUAUCCACAUCCCAAUCCCUAGAACCCAAGAUUAGACCUUAUAUGGCAAAAGUGACUUUGAAGAUGUGAUUCAAUUUUUUGAGAUGGGGAGAUUAUCCUGGACCAUCCAGGUGGACCCACUAUGCCCCCAAAAUUCACGUGUUGAAAGCUAAUCACCAAUGUGAUAGCGUUAGCAGGUGGGGCCUUUGGGAUGUGGUUAGGUCAUGAGGGUAGAGCCCUCAUGAAUGGGAUUAGUGCCCUAUAAAAGAGACCCCAGAAGCCAGGCAUAGUGGGCUGCACCUACAGUCCCAGCUACUGAGGAGGCUGAGGCAGGAAGAUCUCUUGGGUACAGGAGUGAGCUAUGAUCACGCCAUUGUACUCCAGCCUUGGUGACAGAGUGAGACCCUGUCUCUAAAGUAAUUAAAUAAAAGAGACCCCAGAGAGCUAGCUAGCUUCUUCCACUAUGUCAGUUAGAAGGUGCCAUGUAUGAGGACAUGGGCCCUCACAGGACAUCAAAUCUGCCAGUACCUUGAUCUUGGACUUCCCAGCCUCCAGAGCUGUGAGCAAUAAAUUUCUGGAAAAUGCUAUAAGCCACCCACUUUCCAGUAUUUUUGUUAUGGCAGCCCAGGCAGACUAAAACAACCUCUGUGGCACAUUUGGGGUGAUGGAGGAACAGCCGAUGUUCCUAGGAACCAGUGAGGCGCAGGAGUCCCAGAUCCCUCUAGUGAGAUCCCCAGAGAGCACCACGUACCCACCCUGCAGCUGGCAAAGCUAUUUAUGGAAGUUAGGGGCCUGUUGGUUUAGAGCGGCCAUUCUCAACCAGGGGGAUGUGGCACUGUCUUGAGACAGUUUUGGUUGUCAUGAGUGGGUGUGUGCGGUGGGGAGUGCUACUGCAUCACACAGGCUGAGGCACGGGAUGCUGCUCAACAUCCUACAGUGUGGGGACAGCCCCCCACAACAAAGAAUCAUUUCAUUCGAAACAUGGAUGAGGACCAAGCGCAGUGACUCACACCUGUAAUCCCAGCACUUUGGGAGGCCGAAGCAGGAAGAUUGCUUGAAGCCAGGAGUUUGAGACCAGCCUGGGCAACAUGGUGAAACCCCAUCUUUACAAAAAAAGCAAAAAAUCAGCCGGAUGUGGUGACACACACCUGUACUCCCAGCUACUUGGGGGCCUGAGGUGGGAGGAUUGCUUGAGCCCAGGAGGUCGAGGCUGCAGUGGGCUGAGACUGCACCACUCCACACCAGCCUGGGUGAUAAAGUGAGACCCUGUCUCAAAAAAAAAAAAAUUAGCUGAGCACGGCAGCGUGCAUGGUGGUUUGUGCCUGUAGUCCCAGCUACCUGAGAGGCUGAGUUGAGAAGAUGGCUUAAGCCAGGGAGGUGAAGGCUGCAGUGAGCCAAGAUCAUGCCACUGCAUUCCAGCCUGGGUGACAGAGCCAGACCCUGUCUCAAAAAAAAUGACAGAACAGACUCUGUGGCAACAAGAUACCAAAUUAUAAAGAGGACCCAAGGCCAAGCCAGGCAGGGGUUAAUUCAUGGACCCUGCACUUAAAGAAUAAACUAUGUUCUAACAGCAAUGAGGCUUUCCUUUUCCUCCAGCAGCAACAAGCACCGGCCUGAAGCAACAUUAAUACACUUUGCAGCUCAUCCAGCUCACGGAUGCCAACUUAUUGACCCCCUGUUUUUCCAGGCAUAACUACAGCUCCGACUGGACAAGAGACUGAUUUCAGUAACUUUCUCCUGAUAAGAGACCAUUGACCAUGAACUGGCUCUGGCUGGUUUUCAGAAGUUGCUCACUUGCAGGCCUUCAGGCCCUGAAAAGAUGUUUUGACAGAUGGGGCCUAAUUGUAAUACAUUUUAUUUUAUUUUAUUUAUUUUAUUGAGAUGGAGUCUCACUCUGUUGCCCAGGCUGGAGUCCAGUGGCACCAUCUUGGCUCACUGCAACCUCCGCCUCCUGAGUUCAAGCAAUUCUUCUGCCUUGGCCUCCUGAGUAGCUGGGAUUACAGGCGCCCGCCACUGUGCCCGGCUAAUUUUUAUAUUUUUAGUAGAGUUGGGGUUUCACCAUGUUGGCCAGGCUGCUCUUGAACUCCUGACCUCAUGUGAUCCACCCGCCUCGGCUCCACAAAGUGCUAGGAUUAUAGGCGUGAGCUACCGUGCCUGACCUUGUAAUACAUUUUAAUGUUAAGUCUCCACCGUCUUCAUCCUACAGCAAACAUGAGUCCUAUGUUACAUGCAUGUUCGUUCAAUACACAUGUGUCAAGACUGCCUUCAUGAAUAUUCAUAGCUCUCCCUGUAACAUGUUGAAUAUGUAUGUUUAGCCAACCCCUUCAGCAUACAGCUCCUGCCCCAACCUCUCCUCCUUAGAAGUGCCUAUCUCCGGAUCACGAGAUCAGGAGAUCGAGACCAUCCUGCCUAACACAGUGAAACCCCGUCUCUACUAAAAAUACAAAAAAAAUUAGCCGGGCGUGGUGGCGGGCGCCUGCAGUCCCAGCUACUCGGGAGGCUGAGGCAGGAGAAUGGCGUGAACCUGGGAGGUGGAGCUUGCAGUGAGCCGAGAUCGUGCCACUGCACUCCAGCCUGGGCAAGAGAGCGAGACUCCAUCUCGAAAAAAAAAAGAAGUGCCUGUCUCUGGUCUCUGCCAGAGGCUAUGCUUUUGAAAGUGGCGGAUGGCCACCCUGCAGUCUGUAACCCUUUAUGAAAAAUAAAGUUGCCGCUGUGGCUCACACCUGUAAUCCCAGCACUUUGGGAGGACAAGGCAGGCGGAUCACUUGAAGUCAGGAUUUCAAGAUGAACCUGGCUACAUGGUGAAACCCCAUCUCCACAAAAAAUACAAAAUGAGCCGAGUGUGGUGGCACGCACCUGUAAUCCCAGCUACUCAGGAGGCUGAGGCAGGAGAAUCGCUUGAAGCUGGGAGGCAGAAGUUGCAGUGAGCUGAGAUUUUGCCACUGCACUCCAGCUUGGGCAACAGAGUGAGACUUUGUUUCACAGAAAAAAAAAAAAAAAGAAAGUAAGUUGGGGGAUGGGGGAGAGCUUCAGGAAGAAUAGCUAAUGGAUGCUGAGCUUAAUACCUAGGUGAUGGGUUGAUCUCUGCAACAAACCACCAAGGCACAUGUUUAUCUAUGUAACAAACUUGCACAUCCUACGUAUGGGCCCCUGAACUCAAAACACAAGUUGAAGGAAAAAAAAAAAAGAAAGUCUUGUCGGGCAUAGUGGCUCACACCUUAAUCCCAGCACUUUGGAAGGCCGAGGAGGGAGGAUGGCUUGAGACCAGGAGUUCAAGACCAGCCUGGGCAACAUAGCGAGACCCUGUCUCUACAAAAAAAAUUUUAAAAAUUGGCCAGGUGUGGUGUUGCACACCCGUAGUCCCAGCUACUUGGGAGGCUGAGGCAGGAGGAUGGCUUGAGCCCAGGAGGUUGAGGGUGCAGUGAGCCGUGAUUGCACCACUGCACUCCAGCCUGAAUGACAGAGCAAGACCCCAUCUCAAAGAAAAAAGAAAGAAAGAAAAAAUGAAAGGAAAGAAGAAAGAAAAAAGUCUCUUUUCCAAAUUUGUGAAUUGUGUGAUUUUUCAGUUAACCAGCUCUCAGGUCUGGGGCCAGUCACGCUGCUGAGUCCUGGCCACCAGAGUGGUGAGGUGUUGGGAGGCAGAGGUGGUGCUUGUCUCUGUCCAGGGGUGGCCUGGCUGAGGUUCGGCUGGUCCACGAGCAUCAGUUUCCCCACCUCCAUGGUGGUGGAAUGUGGAGAGCCAUAGGAGCCUGGUGCAUGCACCCCUCUGUGCACUGUCCGAGGGUCCCCUCCCCACUUAGAACCAUGG